AGCAGUGUCUUGGAACUUCUCUUCUUGAAACCUGGACUUCCCCAAAGGCUCUUUCAUCUGUGGCAGCCCCUUCACCACCUUGGGCUCCUGCUCUACAGAUAUGUUGUCCUUGGCUGUCUUUGGAUUGGUGUGGCACAAGAUGGGACAGAAGGACUUUGAUUUUAUGGUUAAAGAAAAGGAAGAAAAACAAGAUUCUUUUUUUGCAGUUGGAAGUUAUUUUCAUGAAAGAAGACUUUAGCUUCUGAUGUUAUUAUUAAAUCAAGAUUUUGAUUUGUCUUCAUGAAAGCAACCACAUAUGACUUCAGUUGUCACAGGCUAAAGCAAAAAUAAGUGAGGUGAGCAUAACAGAUAAAGGAUGCUAUUGAAUCAAGGGGAGGCAAAAGAACAUCAGAGUGAGUUGUACAAAAAUAAGUUUUGCAAUUAGUUCAUGCUAACUUGAAGGGAUAUUGCUAAAAUGAAAAGAAACUUGGCUAUAGUAAUUUAUAUGCUGUUCACUUAAUGGGUGCUGAUUUACCACAAUAUUAAACAUAUUACCAUCAUAUGAAAUUAACGUUAAAAAUUUAAUUUUAUUAGUUUUGUGAUUCUGCUUAUGUUCAAUUUGCAAUUUCUUUUUGGUUGGCUCAGCAGGUUUGUUAGCUCAGUGGCAAGUACAAGCUGAAACCAUAGCAGAGCUACUCUUCCCAACACGGUGGGUUCUCUAACUAACCAAAAGCUCCAUUGUUACCUAGUCGCCUAGAUCAGCCCCAUAUUCAUAAAGUGAUCCGUGGACCAGCAGCACUGGUAUUCCCUGGGGGAUUUGAAGAAAUGUAGUCUUGGGCCUCGCCACCCAC